UACGAAGGGUGCAAGCGUUACUCGGAAUUACUGGGCGUAAAGCGUGCGUAGGUGGUGAGUUAGGUCUGUCGUGAAAGCCCCGGGCUCAACCUGGGAAUGGCGAUGGAUACUGGCUCGCUAGAGUGCGGUAGAGGAGAGUGGAAUUCCCGGUGUAGCAGUGAAAUGCGUAGAGAUCGGGAGGAACAUCAGUUGCGAAGGCGGCUCUCUGGACCAGCACUGACACUGAGGCACGAAAGCGUGGGGAGCAAACAGG
rnacentral:rRNA from 1 species